rnacentral:SRP_RNA from 1 species
GCCGGAUGCGAUAGCGCGCGCCUGUAGUCCCAGCCACUCUGGAGGCUGAGGUGAGAGGAUCGCUUGAGCCCAGGAGUUCUGAACUGUAGUGUACUGUCUUGAAUCGGUGUUCCCACUGAAUUUGGCAUCAACCUGGUGACCUCCCAGGAGCAGAGGACCACCAGCUUGCCUAAGGAGAGGUGAACCAGCCCAGGUCAGGAACUGAGUGGGUCAAAAUUCCUGUGCUGAUCAGUAAUGAGAUCGUGCCUGUGGAGAGCUACUGCACUCUGGCCUGGGCAAUACAGCAAGACCCUU